GACGAACGCUGGCGGCGUGCCUAACACAUGCAAGUCGAACGGAACUGUUUUGAAAGAUUUCUUCGGAAUGAAUUUGAUUUAGUUUAGUGGCGGACGGGUGAGUAACGCGUGAGUAACCUGCCUUCAAGAGGGGAAUAACAUUCUGAAAAGAAUGCUAAUACCGCAUGACAUAUCGGAACCACAUGGUUUUGAUAUCAAAGAUUUUAUCGCUUGAAGAUGGACUCGCGUCCGAUUAGUUAGUUGGUGAGGUAACGGCUCACCAAGACCGCGAUCGGUAGCCGGACUGAGAGGUUGAACGGCCACAUUGGGACUGAGCCACGGCCCAGACUCCUACGGGAGGCAGCAGUGGGGGAUAUUGCGCAAUGGGGGCAACCCUGACGCAGCAACGCCGCGUGAAGGAUGAAGGUUUUCGGAUUGUAAACUUCUUUUAUUAAGGACGAAAAAUGACGGUACUUAAUGAAUAAGCUCCGGCUAACUACGUG
rnacentral:rRNA from 1 species